rnacentral:lncRNA from 1 species
GCUUGAACAGGGGAGGUGGAGGUUGCAGUGAGCCAAGAUCCAGCCACUGCACUCCAGCCUGAGCAACAGAGUGAGACUCCAUUAAAAAAAAAAAAAAAAGUUUCCCUAUGGUGUGACAAGUACACAGAUUAGGCAGGUUUACUGCUGCAUGAGUUCAGACAGAGCCCGUAUUCCAACUUUUAGAGACACACAAAGAUUUAAAGAAGAGAAGGUGAUACCUCUGUGGAAUCUUGAAUAGCUUAGGAGAGAAGUGGGCAUGACAUUCCAGGUGAAGGGAAGGGAUAAGCCAAGGCACAGAAGCAGCAUAGAGAUGAUCACUGGAGCAUGAAGUUCAAGGCAGAGAGUAAUGGAGCCUGGCACUUUGAAAGGGUUCUUGGCCCUAGGAACUCUCUCCCCCACCAUCUGAGCCACCUCAGCCCAGGCCUACAAAACCAGGCUCAGAGCCAUACCAUACACUACAAAGCAGGGGAUACCAUAGCCAGGUUUUGAGCAGGGAUUGAGAGUCACCUUCAUUCAUUAUCUCAUGAAUAUGCACAGAAACCUGUUGAAUUAUUCAAAUAGGAUGUAAAUGUGUAUGCAAAUUUGGCGCUGCCCUCCCUGUUGCUGUGGAAACCAGAGAAUAGCAAAGUAAGGGUCCAACACCCUGGGGAGACCAGGCUAGAGAGACUGAGGCCAGGAAACUCCUUUGUCCCUCGCCCACUUUUCCCACUCCUAAUGUUUUGAUCUCUUUCUUUGCCUAGCCCUGUCUUUGCUUCCUUCUGCCUUGUCCUCUGUCCAUCUCUCUGCCUCUCUUGAUCUUGCUGUCGCUGUCCUCCUCUCUCUCUUCUCCAUCUCUCUGUCUCUCUCUCAAUUGUUUUUUUUUUUCUCCCUGUCUCUGUGUUUCUCUGUCUGAGUCUGUCUCCACAUUGUUGCUCUGUGACUGAGACAGUUUCUCUCUGAUUUCAUAUCCCUCCCUAUCUUGGUCUCUGUGUCUUUAAUUCCAUGGCUCUCUCUUCUGCAUUUCCCUGUCUGUGUCCCUGACUCACAUCUCUUUCUCUGCAUCUUUGUUUUUGUGCCUGACUGUGUCUCUCAGAGUUUCUAUUUCUUGGUCUGUCUCCCAGGCUCUCUCUUCUCUCUUUUGCUCUGAUUCUAUCUCUCUGAACCUUUUGUCUCAAUGCUUGUCUUUAUCUAACAAGAAGGACAAGAAGCUGCACAUCUGUCCUUACCUGAUGGGACAUUCCACCCCUUGCCCAGCUGCCCGCAUGUUCAAGGAUUCCUGGCUUCUCUUCCCACAUAAAAUCCUGUUUCGGGUCUGGCCCCCAUCACUGUACUGGCAUAGGAUCCUCAUGACAGGCCCAGGCUGGCUACCAGGACACCAGACUCCUGUCUCAGCCUCUGCCUGCCAUGUGCCCCUGCCCAGAGUUUCUCCCUCUCUGGCUCUGUAUUCCCAGCACUCUGCUUGAAGCUGGUGGGCACCUUGAGGCAAUGGUGUGUUGGGAGUAGGGAAGUGAUGGGGAAGUCUUAGUGGCUCACCCAUCUGGCUGUCUGCCC